AGCUCCCGCAAGCCCCCUCUGUGUUCCCUUUGUUCCCCUGUUGUGACGACAUCGCCAGGAGCCCCACUUGUGAGGUGACCAUAGCCUGCCUAGUGACCGGCUAUUUCCCGGAGCCCGUGAACGUCAAGUGGAAUUCCGGCAGCGUGACCAAGGGGAUCAAGACCUUCCCAGCCAUGGCACAGAGCAGUGGCAAGGCCUUCACCCUCGUCAGCCAGCUCACCAUCCCUGCCUGGGACCUGGCGCACAACACCUACCAGUGCAGUGUGGAGCACACUCCCUCCCGUAAAAAGAUAGAGGUGGAGAUCACGAACGCAGACAUCAGCCUCCGCUGGGAGCACAACGGCUCCAUAGUCCCCGCCUCCCAGUACAGCAGUGGCCCCGUCUUCAGAUCUGGCCAGGCCUACUCUGCUCAGAGCAUCUUGAGACUCCCCAGGUCCAAGGGGGAAGGAGAAGCGGGGCCCCAAUAUGUCUGCCUGGUGUCGCACAUGAUGCUGAAUGAAACCUUGAAGGUCAAGGUGAAGCCACAGAAUUGUGGUGGCAACUGUAAUCGACACCCUCUGGAGGUCUUUCUCCUUCCCCCUUCCCUGGAGGACCUCUACAUAGCACAGAACGCCACCAUCACUUGUUUGGUGAGUGGCAUGGAGACCCCUGGCAGCCUGGAGGUCUCCUGGAGCCGGGGUAGCGGGGGCCCAUUGGACGUGGUCUCCAGGGAGCCGGUGCUGCAGGAAAAUGGCACUUACAGUGCAACCAGCAUCCUGCGGGUGUGUGUGGAGGAGUGGCAGGCAGGGGAGGAGUUCACCUGCACCAUGAAACACCGAGACAUCCCGUCGGCCAUCGUCAAGACCAUCCUCAAGAUACAUG